GGCUCAAUGGUCUAGCGGUAUGAUUCCUGCUUUGGGUUCGCUCAUCUUGCAGGAGGUCCCGGGUUCAAUCCCCGGUUGAGCCC